UCACACGUAGGAAAAGGGCUGGCACUCUGG
rnacentral:piRNA from 1 species